UACGUAGGGGGCAAGCGUUGUCCGGAAUCAUUGGGCGUAAAGCGCGCGUAGGCGGCCCGGUAAGUCCGUUGUGAAAGCCCCGGGCUCAACCUGGGAACUGCAUUGGAAACUGGCGGGCUUGAGUGUGGCAGAGGGGGGUGGAAUUCCACGUGUAGCAGUGAAAUGCGUAGAGAUGUGGAGGAACACCGAUGGCGAAGGCAGCCCCCUGGGCUAACACUGACGCUCAGGCACGAAAGCGUGGGGAGCAAACAGG
rnacentral:rRNA from 1 species